AACGAACGCUGGCGGCAGGCCUAACACAUGCAAGUCGAACGGACCCUUCGGGGUUAGUGGCGGACGGGUGAGUAACACGUGGGAACGUGCCUUUAGGUUCGGAAUAGCUCCUGGAAACGGGUGGUAAUGCCGAAUGUGCCCUUCGGGGGAAAGAUUUAUCGCCUUUAGAGCGGCCCGCGUCUGAUUAGCUAGUUGGUGGUGUAACGGACCACCAAGGCGACGAUCAGUAGCUGGUCUGAGAGGAUGAUCAGCCACAUUGGGACUGAGACACGGCCCAAACUCCGACGGGAGGCAGCAGUGGGGAAUCUUGCGCAAUGGGCGAAAGCCUGACGCAGCCAUGCCGCGUGAAUGAUGAAGGUCUUAGGAUUGUAAAAUUCUUUCACCGGGGACGAUAAUGACGGUACCCGGAGAAGAAGCCCCGGCUAACUUCGUGCCAGCAGCCGCAGUAAAAC
rnacentral:rRNA from 1 species